CUGGGCGGGCCAUCCUUCCUGGGCUGCCUGCAGUCCAUGUUGGAAUCUUCUGGUCCAGGGAGGGUCUCCACCACCUUGGUCUUGUCUGGGCCAAGCCUGACCACACUGAGAGCCAAAUCUGUGUUCUCAAACUCUGCAGAUGCAUACCUUGACACAAGCCCUGUGCAACUGGCGGUGUGAGCUGUCCAGAGAUUGACUUCACUGAAGGAAAGGGGGCAGCCCCCAUGGUGGCACUGGCAGAGUGGCUGAGUCAGUUAAGCGGAUGCAGGUGGACUGCAUUUAAACAUGGUUGCUUCUAGAAGCUGCACGGAACAACCUUUCACAGUGUGCCAAGUGCAGUGCCUACCGCAUGCUGUCAUCAGCACCACUGCCCUCUGGACAGUGCUUUCACCCCACCUGCAGAACCAGCACCCACCUCCUCCACAUAUAUGAGCUGAAAGUCAAGGACAGACUGUCUGGUGUCAGGCCUUGCAUGAAGGUGCUUUUAGAAAGAUGGCUGACUUUCACCACAACAGGACUAAACACAUCCAGCAUGUGGAAGAAGAACAUUAAGAACCGCCAACCCCUGUACAGGGCACCAUCCAGACUAACCUCACCCACCAGCACUCUGGCCAUGGGGGAGCAGGCCACGGCCACUAGUUUGCCUCCAGAGAUCUGAGUACAGUGGCUCGUGUAACCUGCCAUCAGGGUUGUUUACAUCUCAGACCCGGCCUAGAGUGCACAUUAAUCAUCACGUAUUUUCCUGCAUAUCUUUAUGAUUUCUCUCCUUGAUGAAAAAGUGUUGAGCCUCAGAAUCCACUUUGCAGGCUCUGUCUGUCCUGUUGGCAUUUCAUAUUCAAGGCACUUUCCCUCCUUUGCCCUUGAUUUACCAAAUGUGACUGUGGCUGUCCAGUGCAGAAAUGAUGCUGGAGCCAGGUGCACCUGGGGGUAGGGUGGGGGGUGACUGGAUGACAAACUCAGAGCGGAAGACACAGCGGGAUCCAUCUGUCUUUUCUGCACUCCAUGUUUGGUACAGUCUGGACAACUACAGUCCUCUUGCAGUUGCAUUAGGAGACAGAACACAUCCUGCAGGACUGGGAGGGCACUUGUGAAGGCUUAUGACGUGACUGUGCCCUGACACAUCCUGAGCAGAGAGGAACAAUAACAUUGGAGGACAAUCACUGCCUCCCGUGGGGGAAUUGAGAUCUCUUUGACCCAGAAGAUAAUGUAGUCUGACUUCUGGAGCCUGAAGCUUAGUGUCACAUGUAAUUAAAUGUUACUGCUGUGUCUCGCCUUAGAAGACAGUUGCUGCAUUCUCACAAGCAUCAAGAGCAAGCACAUUCAUUCUCUGUUCUUCCCCACUUCUUGAACUUAUUAGUACCUUGAAGAUGAGGAGGCUUCCACUUCAGAAAGCCCUCUCACAUGUGUGCAUGCACAUGUGUGUGAUUGACUUGCAUUUGUAGUAUUUCUCUUGGCAUCUCCACCUGGAUACCUCUAGGUAGACAAAUGCACAGCCUCUAACAUCUGUUUGGAGAAAAGCAAGGGAAUGCUUUGCCCAGAGGUGUCAUACCCAAAUCCUUACCAAUUGAAAUGGAAGAAUUCAGUGAGACAUACUGUUCACAUGAGUGCCCAGGACUGAGGAAAAGAUAGGCCACAAGGCAUGCAUGUGUGUGGAAUGCCUAUUUCUGUUAUGAUGGAGAGAAAAGAAGCUUCUAGACUGAAUUAAAUGAGGCUGCUGUGCUGUAGGAACCGUGGGUCUUAGAAGUAAUGAAGGUGUGGCAGCAGGAGCUAAUAUUCUGUCUCUUUCAUGGGAGUAGCUUUGUUUUGUGGGAGGAAAAAGAGGAAGAGGGGGAGGAGGAGAGUGCUGAUGUUUGGGGAGAAAGUAUCACAGCCUAUUAGUCAGAAGCAAUGAAAUUGAGACAGCCUUGGGGACUCCUUUGCUUGGUCGUGUUUAGGCAGAUCGUGUCCCUAGGUGUGGUGUGCUGAGCAGGACAGUACACAGUGAAAUAAUUGGGCUUGAGAAAUCAAGUGAGCUUCGGCAGCCUCCUGUCCCCUCAUGGGGAGUGGAGAAGGGAGACACCUCCACUUCUGCCAGCAUGAAGGCUGCGUUGAAUAAAACAGGAGGAAAAUUCUCACUGAGUAGCUGGGCUGCCAGUAGAUCUUGAAUCAUAACAGCCGUGGAUUUGGAGGCGUCUCCUUGGAGCCUCUCCUGCCUUGACUCCCUGGGCAUCUGGGUGGGUGGUGGCUGCAGCUGAAGGGGAGAAUGCAGAUCUGCUGUGCGAGGACCAGGACGGUGUCUGUGGAGACACGUGUUAAUGCCUUCGUGUGUCUAGACUCAGGUUCUUUUAAAAAAAAAAAAAAAAAGGAAAG